rnacentral:lncRNA from 7 species
GGCCAUCAGCUCAGUCGAUGCCCGUAUCGUACCCAGAGCUGCAAGCCCUCUAUCAGCCCUCAUCCCGGGUGUGCAUUUUUGUGAGUGAUGGCAAAAAGCGACGUUGCUGAGGAUUACAGCCCUCACAUGUUCUACAUUUGUGUUCUCUAAAGGAGAGAGAGAGAAGCUUCUGCAGCAGGACCACGCCUGUCACAUACAGCCAAGGGCCACCCAGCCCCUUCUACGUCCCGAGGAGGCUGGUGCUGGCACAAGGAUGGCCAGAAGCCCUGCGAUGGUGUCACCUCUGGGAUGCGGCAACCUGCAGCUCUGCUGGCUCAGCCUUCCCAUGGCAUGUCCUGUUCUUCUCUGCUGCCAACAGAGAGUUACAGUGUUUGGGUACUGCUGGUUUAUUCUAUAGCUACACAAAUUUGGAUUUUUAUUCUUAAGCCUGGUGACUUAUAUAAUGCUGCAACUGCAGGAAUAGGAGCUUUGGAUGUAGCACUGAGUGUCUCUCUGUUCAGGGACAAGAUGAGCUGAAAAAGAAAGGCAAGAUACGGCUCUCUGCAUUCAGCUCUCUGGUCUUCCAUCUCAGAGCUGUGAGUCCACAGAGAGAAAGGAUGGACAGCAAGAAAUCCUUCCCGUUGCAGCAAUGAUAUUUAAAACCGAGCCGAUACUGAACUCUGGCUUUGCUCAUUCUGACAGCGUGGGUGGGAAGCACAGCCGGGAUGGAGGGAUCAGUCAGCGAGGGAGACUGGGAGCUCCUCUGCAUGGCAGAGGGUGCCAAGUGCGCUCAGCUUGUCCCAUGCAGUCAGUGCUUUGUAGUCAAACUAGAAAGUCCUUUUUUCCAGAGGCAUAUGAAAAAUAAAGUGCUUCUGAGUUGGUGUAACACUACAGGCAGCUGUAACAAGGUGCUCUCUCCACAGAUCUGGGACAAACUUUGUGGUGCAUAUGCAUAUGUAUCUCAUUUUUCAGACGUUCUGGCACUCACAGACACUCAGGGCUCUGUUUCUGCAGCUGGCUCAAGGUCUCACGCUGGCACUUGGGUAGUCUCACUGAGUUAUUCACUGCUCCAACUGUACUUCAAGGUUUGACGUGCUCAAAGGCACUGCAAGUUGUCUGGAACAGAUAUUUACGUCUCCAGAAGGCAUAGUCUGACCAAGGGAUCCAGCCUGUGUUCCCAGAUAGUUUGCUGACAAGGUCUCUGUCACAAGCAAAUGGCUGUGACCUUCCUCCAGCCAGACCCUGAGCUAGGGUCUGUCUGUCUUUCCUCAGAGCCAUGAAUCAUAGAAUCAUAGAGUGGUUUGGGUUGGAAGAGACCUUUAAGAUCAUCUAGUUCCAACUCCCUGCUAUAGGCAGGGACACCUCCCUCUAGACCAGGUUGCUCAAAGCCACAUCCAGCCUGGCCUUGAAUGCUUCUGGGGAGGGGGCAUUCACAACCUUGCUGAGCAACCUGUUCCAGGGCCUCACCACCCUCACAGUGAAGAAUUUCUUCCUCAUCUCUAGUCUAACUCUACCCUCCUGAAGAACCUUCACACUGGAGUUGACAACUUUGGUCCAACCAAACUUUGUUACUGGCUCCAGUGUGGGCAAGGCUUCCCCCUAGCUCUUGGCUGGUUCUAAAAUGGAGCCUGUGAUCUUUCUCCCCUGGAGACUGGAGAACAUAGUACAUCAUAUUUGUUUCUUUCAGUCUCCUCCUGGGUUUAGCCUAGAAACUAUGGAGCUGCUCACAUGCUGUGCCAUAGACUUCUGCCUCGCAACAAGCUGGAGGGAUACUCAUCUGUAUCCAUUUUCUUUCCACACUGCUGCAUUGAUGCAAACCACCUAUAAAUCACCUCUAUGAAAAAUCAAAUUUUCCCUCUCUUUUUUUGUAGGUAACAGAAGAUUAUGGACUCAGUGUCUGCCCUUCUCUCCCCUGGAGCAGUCACCUGACCCUUGUCCCACACUCCACCUUUCCUCAGGCUGGGUUUCCCUCCAAACAACAAUAACAGCACAGUCUGGUGUCCUCAGACCGGUGAUCCUCUAUGUGAAAGGUUUUCUGAGGACAUAGGUCUUCCAGAAUGACUGCAUGUGCUCCUCCAGAUGUUGAACAAUAUUCCCUCCCAUCCACAGUGACUCUGAGCCUCAUAUUUCCUUGGCUUCGCAUUGUUAUGAAAUGUCAGGGCUUCACAACUAUUUUGACUCUCUUUUGCAAUGUGCCCAAGGGAACUCAACCUCUGUAAAAGCACUGGUUUGGUCCAGCAGGCCCUACAGACUUGCAUCACCUCUCAUUCUGGAAGAACCUCAGCCAUCCCUGCAGGGUAGAUGAGAUAUAGCAAUGUGAGGGCUGAAAGCAAGAUGUGCUGUUUCUAGAGGGCAGCUGCUAGUGGAACCAUAUGAGGCCAACUUGGAGACUGCUCUCAGUCAGUAUUUGUCUGUCACACAAAAGAGGGAGGGGUGCAUCAUGAAAUUUCCUGGUGACACACAAAUGUGAGCGCUUGUCAAUACACAGGAGGCUCCAGCCUAUCAAACAGGAAGAACUGCCUGACCCUGAGGAUGGGAACAAUGAGAAUAGGACAAAAUCCAAUUGUGCCAAAUGUAAGGUUUGGCACGAAAGGCUCAAGCGUCGGAAUUUCUCUGAGAACAUACGAUGUCAGUGACAGACUCAAGCAGAUCGACUGAUCACAGAAUUAAUGUGAAACAGCAAUGUGACACAGCCAUGAAAAAGGUGCAUAUGAUAUAGGCUGCGUCGCAGACUUCCAACAGUGCCUGAAAUGGAUUAAUGACGGGGAGCAACUUCUGGUGGCCCCUGUGAGGAGGCUGCGUGCAGUUUUAUUCACCUCUGUUUGAGAAAGAUGAAUUGUGGCUGCAGCAAGCGUAACCAGCUGUUGGUAGGCUGCUUGGUGGGGGGCUACAGACCCUACUUAACAGUGGAAAACUGAAAGGGAUUGGUUCGUUCAACCUGACAAAAUUAGAGGUUAGAGAGGACACGCUAGGUCUAUAAAUACCUUGUGUUAAACUUAAAACAAUGUUGGCAGGGGGACAAAUGGAUACAAAUUGGCCAUGAGCGUGUUUAGCUUGGAAAUCAGAAGAAGGUCUCUAACCAUUGGAGCAGCGAGGUUGGAGAGCGGCAUGAGACAUAACUUGCUUGGAGGCAGGGCAGUAUCAGUUUUUGAAUUACACCAUUUGACAUGGCUACUCGAGAUGAUCUGGUGAUCCAGGAAGGGCCUUCCCUUCCAAAUUCUGGUUGCAGGCAGGCUUUCUGCUCCUGCUCGCUCAUGUGGAAGCCCUAAAUCGGACAUGAGCACGCAAGGCUCUCAGUCCCCUGCACAGCUCUUUCGAGGUCUUGGCAUUAUCCAACUCAUUAUUUGUUAGUGGCAAUUAUUUAGAUUUCGUGCACUUCUUAUAGAAUAAACCGGAGGGUUACAUC